rnacentral:lncRNA from 1 species
AUGUGUACUAAUUGCACAAAAUGUAGCUCCACCCCCCUCUGCUUCACAACUGUGCAAAACCAAAGUUCAAUUCCUCUCCGACCCUCAAAGACUUCGUCCAGUCGCCGGAGGUUUCAUCAGAGUGGUGAAAAUCGGUCGACUCCGUCUUUCUCCAGAGAAAAUCGGUGAAGUCAUUGCAAAGAAAACUGUAAAGAAUAGGAAGGGUUUUCAGGUAACCGUGCAAAAUCGUCUAUUUUAUAUGAAUUUUGACUUCUCCCCCUUUAUCCCUCGUGGUCAGAAUUAACUACAGAGGAUGGCGGUGACAAGCCAAGUCUUGAUGCCGACGAGUUCAUUUACCUUUUGCACUGGUCGUUUCUCUUUUGCUAUAUUUAUUGUUUACAUGUUAGAUCCAUAUGUGUAUAUGUGUUGUUGCAUGUUGGUAAAUUAUGUACUAAUUAGAGAAAUUAAUAUUUUAACCUUAGGUUUAAAGUUGUGGUUCUUUAGAAAUUGGGGGAUUUUAGAAUCAAACCGAUCUCUAAACUACAGAUAGUCCUAUUUAGAGUUCAGAGGCAACAAAUGGACGAAAACUAUUAUGAAACUACUUGAUAGAGCUACGGACGACUCAUUUAGCGAGGUAAUGAAUUGAAUUUUC